rnacentral:rRNA from 1 species
UCUAGGGUUAAAAUUAAGGAAGAGUAGAGCAAAGAGCUUGAAAAUCGAGGUGGAGUGGCGGAUUGGCUCCAGUCUAGAGGUACGUGUCAAUAAUGGACAAGGCACAAGAAUCUUACCUAGCUUAGAAAUCACUUCACACAUCGCCAUAGAUAAAAGGUGAGCAGCCUCCAAACCCAAAGAGUCGGAAAAAAGUAGGUCAAGACGUGGGAAAUGGCUAGGAAAAAGGUGCGUACCAGACAAAAUGCGGUGGAAACCCGUAAAGAAGUUCGAAUCUAGAAGUAAGACCCUUACAGAUCAAAGGUCUGAAUAACUGUAAAGCCAGUUGC